rnacentral:tRNA from 1 species
GUCCCUGUAGCGCAAUGAAUAGUGCGUUGGACUUCUAAUCCAAUGGUCGUGGGUUCGAAUCCCACCUGGGAUG